rnacentral:rRNA from 1 species
UAGGGAAUCUUCCACAAUGGACGCAAGUCUGAUGGAGCAACGCCGCGUGAGUGAAGAAGGUUUUCGGACCGUAAAGCUCUGUUGCUGGUGAAGAAGGAUAGAGGUAGUAACUGGCCUUUAUUUGACGGUAAUCAACCAGAAAGUCACGGCUAACUACGUGCCAGCAGCCGCGGUAAUACGUAGGUGGCAAGCGUUGUCCGGAUUUAUUGGGCGUAAAGCGAGCGCAGGCGGAAGAAUAAGUCUGAUGUGAAAGCCCUCGGCUUAACCGAGGAAUUGCAUCGGAAACUGUUUUUCUUGAGUGCAGAAGAGGAGAGUAGAACUCCAUGUGUAGCGGUGGAAUGCGUAGAUAUAUGGAAGAAUACCAGUGGCGAAGGCGGCUCUCUGGUCUGCAAACUGACGCUGAGGCUCGAAAAGCAUGGGUAGCGAACAGGAUUAGAUACCCUGGUAGUCCAUGCCGUAAACGAUGAGUGCUAAGUGUUGGGAGGCUUCCGCCUCUCAGUGCUGCAGCUAACGCAUUAAGCACUCCGCCUGGGGGAGUACGACCGCAA